GUCGAAUGACUUGGAAAAGUCAGUCAAAGAGGGUAAAAACCCCGUAGACGAAAUGUGGAAGACACCUAGGAGGAUCCUGAGUACGGCGGAACACGAGAAAUUCCGUCGGAAUCCGGGAGGACCAUCUCCCAAGGCUAAAUACUCCCUAGUGACCGAUAGUGAACCAGUACCGUGAGGGAAAGGUGAAAAGCACCCCGGAAGGGGAGUGAAAUAGAACCUGAAACCGUGUGCCUACAACAAGUCAAAGCCCGUUAAUGGGUGAUGGCGUGCCUUUUGUAGAAUGAACCGGCGAGUUACGAUUGCAUGCGAGGUUAAGUUGAAGAGACGGAGCCGCAGCGAAAGCGAGUCUGAAUAGGGCGUUUGAGUAUGUAGUCGUAGACCCGAAACCAUGUGAUCUACCCAUGUCCAGGUUGAAGGUGCGGUAAAACGCACUGGAGGACCGAACCCACGUACGUUGAAAAGUGCGGGGAUGAGGUGUGGGUAGCGGAGAAAUUCCAAACGAACUUGGAGAUAGCUGGUUCUCUCCGAAAUAGCUUUAGGGCUAGCCUCGGAAUUGAGAAUGAUGGAGGUAGAGCACUGUUUGGACUAGGGGCCCAUCUCGGGUUACCGAAUUCAGAUAAACUCCGAAUGCCAUUCAUUCAUAUCCGGGAGUCAGACUGUGAGUGAUAAGAUCCAUAGUCGAAAGGGAAACAGCCCAGACCACCAGCUAAGGUCCCAAAAUAUAUGUUAAGUGGAAAAGGAUGUGGGGUUGCACAGACAACUAGGAUGUUGGCUUAGAAGCAGCCACCAUUUAAAGAGUGCGUAAUAGCUCACUAGUCGAGUGACCCUGCGCCGAAAAUGUACCGGGGCUAAACAUAUUACCGAAGCUGUGGAGUACACCUUUAGGUGUAUUGGUAGGAGAGCGUUCUAAGGGCGUCGAAGGCAGAUCGUGAGGACUGCUGGAGCGCUUAGAAGUGAGAAUGCCGGUAUGAGUAGCGAAAGACAGGUGAGAAUCCUGUCCACCGAAUGACUAAGGUUUCCUGGGGAAGGCUCGUCCGCCCAGGGUUAGUCGGGACCUAAGCCGAGGCCGAUAGGCGUAGGCGAUGGAUAACAGGUUGAUAUUCCUGUACCCGUUGUUUUUGUUUGAGCAAUGGAGGGACGCAGG
rnacentral:rRNA from 1 species